rnacentral:rRNA from 1 species
AGAGUUUGAUCAUGGCUCAGGAUGGACGCUGGCGGCGUGCCUAACACAUGCAAGUCGAGCGAUUCUCUUCGGAGAAGAGCGGCGGACGGGUGAGUAACGCGUGGGUAACCUGCCCUGUACACACGGAUAACAUACCGAAAGGUAUGCUAAUACGGGAUAACAUAAGAAAUUCGCAUGUUUUUCUUAUCAAAGCUCCGGCGGUACAGGAUGGACCCGCGUCUGAUUAGCUAGUUGGUGAGGUAACGGCUCACCAAGGCGACGAUCAGUAGCCGACCUGAGAGGGUGAUCGGCCACAUUGGAACUGAGACACGGUCCAAACUCCUACGGGAGGCAGCAGUGGGGAAUAUUGCACAAUGGGCGAAAGCCUGAUGCAGCAAUGCCGCGUGAGCGAUGAAGGCCUUCGGGUCGUAAAGCUCUGUCCUCAAGGAAGAUAAUGACGGUACUUGAGGAGGAAGCCCCGGCUAACUACGUGCCAGCAGCCGCGGUAAUACGUAGGGGGCUAGCGUUAUCCGGAUUUACUGGGCGUAAAGGGUGCGUAGGCGGUCUUUUAAGUCAGGAGUGAAAGGCUACGGCUCAACCGUAGUAAGCUCUUGAAACUGGAGGACUUGAGUGCAGGGGAGGAGAGUGGAAUUCCUAGUGUAGCGGUGAAAUGCGUAGAUAUUAGGAGGAACACCAGUAGCGAAGGCAUCUGGCGAAUCCGUAACUGACGCUGAGGCACGAAAGCGUGGGGAUAGAACAGGAUUAGAUACCCUGGUAUUCCACGCCGUAAACGAUGAUGGCUAACCGCCGGCGACACACUGUCGGUGGCCAAGCGAAAGCGAUAAGCCAUCCACCUGGGGAGUACGUCGGCAACGAUGAAACUCAAAGGAAUUGACGGGGGCCCGCACAAGCGGAGGAACAUGUGGUUUAAUUCGAUGAUACGCGAGGAACCUUACCCGGGCUCGAACGGCACCUGGAUCGCCCAGAGAUGGGCGAGUCUUCGGACAGGUGUCGAGGUGCUGCAUGGUUGUCGUCAGCUCGUGCCGUGAGGUGUCGGCUCAAGUGCCAUAACGAGCGCAACCCCUGCCGCCAGUUGCCAUCAGGUGAUGCUGGGCACUCUGGCGGGACUGCCACCGCAAGGUGUGAGGAGGGGGGGGAUGACGUCAAAUCAGCACGGCCCUUACGUCCGGGGCGACACACGUGUUACAAUGGCGGCCACAGAGGGAAGCUACCCCGCGAGGGGAUGCGGAUCUCGAAAAGCCGUCCCAGUUCGGACUGGAGUCUGCAACCCGACUCCACGAAGUUGGAUUCGCUAGUAAUCGCGCAUCAGCCAUGGCGCGGUGAAUACGUUCCCGGGCCUUGUACACACCGCCCGUCAAGCCAUGGAAGCCGCGGGCGCCUGAAGUCCGUGACCGUAAGGAGCGGCCUAGGGCGAAAGUGGUAACUGGGGCUAAGUCGUAACAAGGUA